UUUUUGUUGCAGAGAAUGAAGCCUGGAGUUCCACACACUCCUCUUUUUAAUAUCGUAAAACGACAAAACAAUUUAAGGAAUGUCCUAAUCAUUGCGUCUUUUUUUUUAAUCCCUAAUUCAAAAAAACAUAUAACUAAUUACUCCAUAUCUCUUUAACAUGAGUAUCGGUUUACCCACAUGGGUGUCCAAUCUAGUCUAGACAGUGGCGGAGCCAGAAUUUCUAAUUAAGAGUUUAGAAUCUGAAAAAAUAGACACAAAAUAGUUAAAAGAGCUUCGACAUCUACUAUAUAUACUUAAAAAUUAUUUUAAUCAUGCAUAUAUAAUAUAAUCUUCGGUCAAAGGAGGUUCAAAAAUGACCCCCGAACUAUAAGGUGUCUCCGCCACUAAGUCUAAGGUAGUAAUUAUGAUAUGCUUAAAAAAUAUAUUUUCAUACAAAAUAUUUUUGUUUCGUACCAAAUACACGCUGAUAGUUGUAAAGUUACAGCUUCAUUCAGGACAAAGUGUUUGAUUCAAAUGAUAUCUGCAUUUCUGGAUCAUAAUCAUAUUUACUCUGAGUUUUAAUCUAUGCAUGAAUAUGUAAAUAAAGUUUUACAAUUAAACCAUUUAUAAAAUGUUUACUAAAUCUCCUGAUAUACAUUAUAAAAAUAAUAACAACAAUAACAUGGCAGAAGCACUAGGAAGCCUUGCUAAGUUUGGAGGGAAAGUUUGUAACUAAGUUUAAUUUAUUUAUUUUGGUAGUAGAUAGUUAUAAAUAUUGGGAUUCUUAAGGUGUAAAUAAAUGAGAAAAAAGACAUAUUUUGAAUUGCACCUCUUUAUCUAACUCUUUCAUUGUUUAUAAAUUCAAAAAUCUCUUACCUCAUAUUAAGGGUCUUUUUUUUUUUUUUGACUUACUGUUGCAAACACAGUUUGAUAACAAGAUCAUGGUAUGUAAUAUAUUUUAUUUUUGAGUUAAUCUUAUAUUCUGUCUGUAGAAGACUAAAAAAUCCCAGUUAUUUCUACUCCUUUUAAAUAAAAUAAAAACUAAAAUCCUUGUAAUUUCUACUCUUUUUGUAACUCAAUUUGAAGAUAUAAAAACCUAACCAUUUUAUUAAAUUUAUUUUAAAAAAAACAUAAAAACAAAAACAAGAAUUAUUUUAUCUCAUAUCAACUAUUUUUGUUAUUUUCACUUCACAAUACAACACCACUCAAGGCACAACUUUAUUUUCAUAUAAAAAAAAUGCUAGUUUUAGCUAAAAAAGUAGAAAAUAAAUAGUUCUAGAAGAAGAAUGAGAAGUGAUUGAAACUGACCUUAAAUCAUGCCCUAAUAAUAUUCCAUCUUCAUUUCUUUCAUAUUUUGUACAAUUUCUAGCUGAUAAAAAAAAAAAAAGUCAUUAACAAGUACUUACCACUUAUUACAUAUUAUAUAUGAUGAUUUUGAGAGGAAAAAAAAUGAAAACAUUUAAUUAGCAUAAUGAGAUUCCAUAUUCUUAUUCUUUCAAAUUCAAAAACCUCUACCUUAUAGCUUUGCUUGAGCCGUUAGCCAUCGAGAAUCGAGUAGAUAGGCCAUAAUACCUUAGGGUUCGAACAAAAUCACUCAUUCUUCUAUUAUAAAUAGAUGCACGACACCUUCAAACCAGGGCCGAUUUUAAAGAGUAGAGAAAUCGACACGUGUCUAAUGUCCCAAAAUUUAAAGAGGACCAUUAAAAAAAAUACUCAUAUAUUUAGGUGGUACCAAUGAAAUACAGUUAAAGUAAGAAAC
rnacentral:lncRNA from 1 species